rnacentral:rRNA from 1 species
AGCGGCGGACGGGUGAGUAACGCGUGGGUAACCUGCCUCAUACAGGGGGAUAACAGUUGGAAACGGCUGCUAAUACCGCAUAAGCGCACAGUACCGCAUGGUACCGUGUGAAAAACUCCGGUGGUAUGAGAUGGACCCGCGUCUGAUUAGCUAGUUGGUGGGGUAACGGCCUACCAAGGCGACGAUCAGUAGCCGACCUGAGAGGGUGACCGGCCACAUUGGGACUGAGACACGGCCAA